CCUACGGGCGGCAGCAGUGGGGAAUAUUGCACAAUGGGCGAAACCCUGAUGCAGCGACGCCGCGUGAGUGAAGAAGUAUUUCGGUAUGUUAAGCUCUGUCAGCAGGGAAGAAAAUGACGGUACCUGACCAAGAAGCCCCGGCUAACUACGUGCCAGCAGCCGCGGUAAUACGUAGGGGGCAAGCGUUAUCCGGAUUUACUGGGUGUUAAGGGAGCGUAGACGGCAGGGCAAGUCUGGAGUGAAAGGCGGGGGCUCAACCCCCGGACUGCACUGGAAACUGCCAGGCUGGAGAGCAGGAGAGGUAAGUGGAAUGCGUAGUGUAGCGGUGAAAUGCGUAGAUAUUAGGAGGAACACCAGUGGCGAAGGCAGCUUACUGGACUGUAACUGACGUUGAGGCUCGAAAGCGUGGGGAGCAAACAGGAUUAGAUACCCGGGUAGUC
rnacentral:rRNA from 1 species